rnacentral:rRNA from 1 species
GAUGAACGCUGGCGGCGUGCCUAAUACAUGCCAGUCGAGCGAACAGACGAGGAGCUUGCUCCUCUGACGUUAGCGGCGGACGGGUGAGUAACACGUGGAUAACCUACCUAUAAGACUGGGAUAACUUCGGGAAACCGGAGCUAAUACCGGAUAAUAUAUUUAACCGCAUGGUUCAAUAGUGAAAGACGGUUUUGCUGUCACUUAUAGAUGGAUCCGCGCCGCAUUAGCUAGUUGGUAAGGUAACGGCUUACAAAGGCAACGAUGCGUAGCCGACCUGAGAGGGUGAUCGGCCACACGGGAACAGAGAGAGGGUCCAGACUCCUAAGGGAGGCAGCAGUAGGGAAUCUUCCGCAAUGGGGGAAAGCCGGACGGAGCAACGCCGAGUGAGUGAUGAAGGUCCUCGGAUCGUAAAACUCUGUUAUUAGGGAAGAACAAAUGUGUAAGUAACUAUGCACGUCUUGACGGUACCUAAUCAGAAAGCCACGGCUAACUACGUG